GCACGCUUGGGUGGUGGGCCAUCACUGCCGGGCAUAGUGGACGGCCGUCGGUCUCUUCCAUGGUGAGCCGUGAAUCAGAAUCCGUGUCCCCGUCUGAUCCGUGGACCAGGAAAUUCGAUUUCCGUGUAGUGGUGACAGGAACAAAUUGAAGGCAGGAUCGAGUCUUCUCGGCUAUGGCGUCGGUCAUUUGGAAGCUGGAGACUCCGGGACAGGGCAACUAGCGCCGCCGGCAAGCUGCCAUGGAUUUUCUGAUGCAGCCAAUCAGCAGAUUCAGAUCCAGUCUGCUUGAGGAGGUAGGGGAUAGCUUGGUGCCGGCUCCUGUGGCUGUCAAUCUGGAAGUGGCACCGAAGGCGGAGCGGGAGGCGGCGCAGCAGCUGACGGUGGAUAGCGGCGAAGCACAAAUCUUGUUGGCGGAGGAGGUGGCGGCGAACAGAAGGGAGGGCUCGCCGCCAACGUCGGAGCUGUCGACGGGGAAGAUGAAUCCCCAAGCACCAGGGUGGAACAAAAGGCUAAGGGUUGGUGCUGCUGCCCCCAUCAGAACACCGUGCCCACCUCGUGCGAGUGCGUUUGAGAAGGCAGUCAGGUGUUUCGCGAAGAACCCAUCUGAAAAUGUGAUCACACCGUUUCUUAAUGGUACUUUCGACUCUGUGGCCGAGGUGUAUGACUUCUACAACUUGUUUUCGUGGGAGAAGGUUUUGGCAUCCGGUAUGGCAAGAGAUGGCUAAAUGUCAAGAGGACAGAGUGCAUGCAGGAGAUAGUUUGUGGGUGCUCGGGUAAAGCUGGGGUCGACAACACAAGGUCUUGAGUGCCCUGCUCUGGUUAGACUUUUACGAGCAGAGGAUAACAGGUGGUACAUUGUACCACAUAGAGACAAUCAGAAAUCUCGACGGGGGAAAUGAACCCUCAAGCGCCAGGAUGGUCUAAGAGCACUGCCUUGCAUACCUCUGAAACUUGAUUGCAUAUGAGGUGAUUUCGAUGAAAGGAAAUAAGGGUGAGCUCCAAGCUUCAUGAUCCAAGUUCUGUUCUACUAGAUUGGUGGUCUGCUGGAGUCUAGAUGGUAUCAUUUUGGUUUUUGGUAUGCGUUUCUAUGGCAAUGUAUUCAGGACUACUCGAGCACGACAUAUUAGGUGUAUUCUGAUGCAUUGGGUUAGUUGCUUAGUGCACCUCUUGCUGAGUGCGGAUAAAAGCUUAUCAGCAAA